CUCUCUGGUGUGCUGCCAACACCUCCAGGCUGUCUGGGGGGCUGAGUGCCUGAGUGAGAGUUGAUGAAUGGCCUCAGGUCAGAGACAUCUGCCAACGAGUGAGCUGAGGGAGCCUUUUGUUCAUUUCCUGGGAACCUGCGGGAAGUUGGGGCAGGGCGCUGCCCACCCAGUGCAGGCUGGGCCCUCAACAUUCCCUUCUCCAUGAGCCUCACAGGGUCACUUUCUGGGCCUUUACUCAAGCUGCUGGAACUCAGGGAGCCCCUUUACUUGCUUGGGGGUGCAUGGGUGUGGCAUCCCUUGGUCCCGAGGGUCCUCAGAGGGUUAAAGCGUUGAACAAAAAGAGCCCUUCCAGAUGGGCUGUGCCGUAGCAGCUGUCGUGAAGGGCCCCGCCAGCCCCCGUGGGCCUCUGGACACAAUCAUGACUGUAUCUGGCUGUGUCUGACUCCAAUCAGAUGAGCUUCGACGUGAGGCAUGUGGCUUCCUUCCGGCAAUGAACUGUCUGGGGUGAAUGUGACCCCCACAGAUGUCUGUCUGCCUGCCUCCCUCUCACCUGGCAUCUCUGGAAGGAAUUUCUAAUAGCAGCCUGACCCCAUGGGUGAGUGUGCUCCUGGGGGUCAGGACGGUGAUCUUACAGAACCUAAUGAGGGGGCAGGUGGGCACGGGAAACAGCUGGAUGCCUGCAAAGAUGAUCCUGGGAUGAGUACCCUAUUCUCACUUGGCAUAGCAGGCACAGAGGCAGAGCAGCCCUGGUUCACCCAACCCUGCCACAGGCAGCCAUGUAAACUUGAAUAAAUAAAUCCCUUUGCCUCAA